rnacentral:tRNA from 1 species
AGCUCCGAGGUGUUAUGCAUAUAAGAUUGCAAAUCUUAAGGGGCAGAGUGGAAUGCUGCCGGGGCUU